CAUGAGGUGGGGAGAGAGCCUGCACCAGACUCAGCCCCAAAGAGCGAGAGGAGUGAUCUGAGAGAAAGUCACCGCUGUUUUUGUUUAGCCUCUCUGGUGCAGCUGAGAGCGAGAGUCGCUCACACUGUCAGAGCACCGCUGCCUAAGCUUGAGUGGAAAGUUUCCACAGCAUGACCAGAGUCAGGACUCAACUACUCCUGUCCCACUGAGAGUAAGCCAUACCGAAGAAGAGACAGAGAGAGCUCCUGAGCAGACUUUGACCCCUGACCUCCAGGUGUGGUGGUGUACCAUGUGUUCUCCCGCUUGGGGGGCGUGAACCCAUCUCUGCUGUGAGGAGUCGU